GCAUAUCAUUAAGCGGAGGAAAAGAAACCAACAGGGAUUGCUCAGUAACGGCGAGUGAAGCGGCAAUAGCUUCAAAUUUGAAAUCUGGCUUCGGUCCGAAUUGUAAUUUGUAGAGGAUGCUUCGGCUUCGGCUUGGGUCUAAGUUCCUUGGAACAGGACGUCACAGAGGGUGAGAAUCCCGUACGUGGCCCUUGCCCCCGCCAUGUGAAGCUCCUUCGACGAGUCGAGUUGUUUGGGAAUGCAGCUCUAAAUGGGAGGUAAAUUUCUUCUAAAGCUAAAUAUUGGCCAGAGACCGAUAGCGCACAAGUAGAGUGAUCGAAAGAUGAAAAGCACUUUGGAAAGAGAGUUAAAAAGUACGUGAAAUUGUUGAAAGGGAAGCGCUUGCAAUCAGACUUGCCCGCGGUUGCUCAGCCGGUCUUCUGACCGGUGCACUCUUCCGCGGUCAGGCCAGCAUCAGUUUGGGCGGUCGGAUAAAGGCUUAGGGAAUGUGGCUCCCCUCGGGGAGUGUUAUAGCCCUUUGUGUAAUGCGGCCCGCCUGGACUGAGGUCCGCGCUUCGGCUAGGAUGCUGGCGUAAUGGUUGUAAGCGGCCCGUCUUGAAACACGGACCAAGGAGUCUAACAUCUAUGCGAGUGUUUGGGUGUCAAACCCGUGCGCGAAAUGAAAGUGAACGGAGGUGGGAACCUUAGGGUGCACCAUCGACCGAUCCUGAUGUCUUCGGAUGGAUUUGAGUAUGAGCAUAGCUGUUGGGACCCGAAAGAUGGUGAACUAUGCCUGAAUAGGGUGAAGCCAGAGGAAACUCUGGUGGAGGCUCGCAGCGGUUUCUGACGUGCAAAUCGAUCGUCAAAUUUGGGUAUAGGGGCGAAAGACUAAUCGAACCAUCUAGUAGCUGGUCUGC
rnacentral:rRNA from 1 species